AACGAACGCUGGCGGCAUGCCUAACACAUGCAAGUCGAACGAGACCUUCGGGUCUAGUGGCGCACGGGUGCGUAACGCGUGGGAACCUGCCCUUAGGUUCGGAAUAACUCCCCGACAGGGGUGCUAAUACCGGAUAAUGUCUUCGGACCAAAGAUUUAUCGCCUUUGGAUGGGCCCGCGUUGGAUUAGCUAGUUGGUAGGGUAAAAGCCUACCAAGGCGACGCUCCAUAGCUGGUCUGAGAGAAUGAUCAGCCACACUGGGACUGAGACACGGCCCAGACUCCUACGGGAGGCAGCAGAGGGGAAUAUUGGACAAUGGGCGAAAGGCUGAUCCAGCAAUGCCGCGUGAGUGAUGAAGGCCUUAGGGUUGUAAAGCUCUUUUACCCGGGAUGAUAAUGACAGUACCGGGAGAAUAAGCUCCGGCUAACUCCGUG
rnacentral:rRNA from 1 species